CUCCCAAGACUACCUGAGGCUUUACUGCUGUCAGUGUGCCACUGCUGAACCUCUCAGGAUAUUCUGCCUCCUACAAAACAGAAACAGAGUCUGUGUUCAGAUUUAGCUGUAGCUCUUCCUGCUGAAAGAAGAGACUUUGGAAAGGACUACAGGGCAGCAGAGUGGAGAUCUCUGUAUUGGGAUGCCUUUUGCACUUUGAUAUGAGAGAUACAUGAAUAUACAUAAAGCAGGAAAAAAUGCUGUUCAGUACCUUCUGGACUGCAGUAUUGAAGAGUGUCUGUAGGAAUAUACCUGAAGCAUGAUCAGGAUUGGAACCCUAAAAGCCUAAGCAAGGCAAAUAUAUGAAAAUGAAGAUAUGAAGCAGAGUAAAGCUCAGUAAAGAGAGAGAUGGAAGUGACAUACACUGUGGAUCUUGCAUGUCAUCCUGCCUAGACUUCAGAGGAGGCUCUGCACUGAUUCAUGCCUGUGAGAGACUGCAUCUAUUUUUAUUUCCUUUGGAUAAAAUGUAGAGAAGCUAAUAUUUCUGUGAGAGUCAUAGAGGUCACGUAGAAAAUAAGAAACACGAUACAGUUAUUCAUUUUCUUUUUUUGUUUUUAGCCAAAAUGUACAUCUUCACAGAAUAUGAAUAUGUGGAACUUAAAUUUUGUGGUUACUGGAAAUUCAAAUAUAGAAAGCAAUGGCAUCUACAAAGAAAAUGCUCCCACUGAGAACUUAUUUUAUCAAUGAAUUAAACCUAAAUUGUUCUGUUCCAUUCUAAAAUUCAAGUUGCUUGAGAAUCCUUCCUAGAAGUAAAGCAUAAUGAACAGAACCUGAAAGUUUCCUUAAGAGAGUGCAUUACGUGUUCUGAAAGAUAAAUGUUCUAAAAUGUUCUUUCCUUGACAGCAUCAGCUUCAUUUGUGUCAUGUCUUGCAACACACAGUGUGAUGGAAGUCUGUAUGUCAAACUGUACUGCACCUAAUAAAAUGGAGCAUAUGCCUGUAAAAACAAUUAAAUAUGUCAAAUUGAGGU